CACCCCUUCUCCAACCUUGCUUCUUCUUUGGGCCUCCCACCUCGUGGACUCCGGCCGAGAUUAGCCAAGGGCAGUACUCCUGCCCCCGGAAAUAUCCCAACUCAGUUCCGGAGCUGAAGCAGAAAGAGAGACAGCAAGUGAGCGCCGGUUCCGUUAGGGCUCGGGGAGCCACCUCAGCGCGACGGGAGGAGGCGAGUCUGGGAGGCACCCCCAAAGUGACUGCGAUGGAAGCCCGGGGGUGCGCGCGGUCCCGGCGGCCGCUGCCGGCGCUGCUGCUGAUCCUGCUGCUGCCGCCGGCCGCGGGCGCUGCAGGCGCUGCGGACGCGCGCUGGAGCGGGCAGGGCACCACCCCACACCUGCAGAGCAUCUUCCUGGGCCGCUGCGCGGAGUACAUUGCGGUGCUGAGCCCCGAGCUGCGGGACAAGAACUGCACAGCCAUCUGGGAAGCCUUUAAACUGGUGCUGGAUAAGGAUCCCUGUUCUGUGCUUCCCUCAGAUUACGACCUUUUUAUUAACCUCUCCAGGCACUCCAUUCCCAGAGAUAAGUCCCUAUUCUGGGAAAACAACCACCUCCUUGUCACCAGCUAUGCGGAGAACGGCCGCCGCUUUAUGCCACUGUGCAAUGUUCUGUAUGGCAUGGUCGGAGAUUUCUUGAGCUGGUGUCGACAGAAAAAUGCCUCUGGACUUGACUACCAAUCCUGCCCUACAUCUGAAGAUUGUGAAAACAAUCCUGUGGAUUCUUACUGGAAAAGUGCAUCCAUCCAGUAUGCAAAGGAUAGUUCUGGGGUGAUCAAUGUCAUGCUGAAUGGUUCAGAGCCAACAGGAGCCUAUCCUGUAAAAGGGUUUUUUGCAGAUUUUGAAAUUCCCCACUUACAGAAGGAUAAAAUCACACGCAUUGAGAUCUGGGUUAUGCAUGAAAUCGGGGGAACCAAUGUGGAAUCCUGUGGAGAAGGCAGUGUGAAAAUCCUGGAAGAGAGACUGGAGAAAAUGGGUUUCCAGUAUAGCUGUAUCAAUGACUACAAACCAGUGAAGCUCUUACAGUGUGUGCAACACAGCACUCAUCCUGACUGUGCCUUAAAUUCUUGAUGAGUGGCACUGCAUGAGAGCUCCCCCUUCUGACCUCCUGACUCCAUUUAAGUGAUGAGAAAACUGAGGCUUGACAAGGUUAAAUCACUUCUGCAAGGUCACCCAGUUAGCAAUGGAGGAGAAGUGUUACAACCAGGUGGACUGACUCCAUCAUUGAGGUGCUUUUCUCCAUCUGCUGCACUAAAUAAGGCCCCAGGAAUGUUAACAACACUUGGAUUCUGCUCCAGAACCCUCCGAACUCACUUCCCCCUUCCUCUUUCUAUUUCCUCAGUCUUCUUAGAUCUCCAACCCCACACUCCACCUACCAUUUAUGUCUUUGCUUUUCUUUUGCACUUUGACACCAGUCUCUCUUGUCCCAAACUGAACUCCCAUCUUUUCUACACCUGCAUCUCUCCUCCUCACCUCAGCACAUUUAAGGACACUUGUCAGGGUGACAUGCCUUCUACCUCACCUUCCCAGAGCUGACAUUGUCAGAUCCCUAUUCAGACCGCCUGAGCAUUGUAGGUGGGCAUUAGACUUAGAGCUAGAAUCCUUCCAGGUGUGCAGAUGAGCAUGAGGUAUUACCAGUGUCAAGAUUUUUUUUUUUUUGUAGCUGAGGCCCAUGGGUUUUGGAGAAGCCUGGUAUGGAUGGUUGAAACUUGGGAUUUUUUUUUUUCUUUUUAUAUAAAUGCUGAACACGUGUAUCCUUUGUCAUGAAAUACCAGGUUAUGGAUGUCUUACCUUAGCUUCAGAGAAUACAUUUGACCAAGGUUUCUAGAAGAAAGAAGGAAAGAAAGAAAGGAAAGAAAGAAAGAAAGAAAGAAAAAAGAAAACCUUCUCUGUAAUGUUUCACAACGCUGUCCCUGUUCACUCACCAUAACAACCCAUGUGCCAUGACAAGAAGUAGAGCAUUAUAAAGAGAGGCAGGAUGAACAAGCUUGCCAAAGCAACUUUUGUUCUCAAUUCAGCCUUGGAAUUCAUCAUUUCUUCUUCUUUGUGUAGGUUCCAGAAUUUUAUGAUACCUCUCCCCCUACCCAAUGAGCUCUAAUAGGUUUCCAGAGGGAUCCAGACCUUACCAUGUAUCUUAUUAUUGAGGAUAUCACUUGAGUUAGCGCCUCUUCCCACCAUGUCUAGCAACAGUAGAUUAGACAAGUGUCCAAACGACAUAAAUCCUACUGGCCAACCGGAAGAAAAAGGAGGUAGAGCGAGCUUCAAGGGUUGUGAUCUGUGCAGUUACACAGGGACCCGUGCUCAGAGGGGCCCAUGCUUGGUUUACUGUUCUUCUGUCUCUGUCUUUAAAUUUUUAAUUUUUGAACAAGGAGCACAGCAUUUUCGUUUUUCACUGGGACCUGUAAAUUAUGUAGCUGGUCCUGAGUGGAAGUAAAGCAUUCCAAAGCAAAGGGAGCCUUAUUCUGUCGAAGGUGGCCCUGUUAUAUAUAUAAGAAAUAGGUUAUGGAGGCCCUGACUGUGCCCAAUCUUGAUCACAGGCUUUCAGCGCUUAAUGGGAGCUGAAAACACCCCUGUUGGCUCCUCUUCAGCGUAUUUCAUAUACCUGGGGAAUUUUUUAUCUUCUAAGUCCCGCUUCCCCAAGAAGGAAGCUAGCAGCAUGCUUUCCCAGUCUUCUUUGAAGCUAGGGUGCAGACAUGUGACGUGUACUUCGCUGGUCAGGUGCUCAUGCAGGAGACUUCCCUUCAGGGGAAAGAGAGGUGAACAUGGAGAUGCCUCCAGGAUUUGGCCUGAUCAGAGGGGAAAGGCAUGAAGAGUGGGGUGUUAUUGGUGCCUUGACUGGUGCAGGCUGAGGCGACCGUGCCCAGCGGUCACUGGGCUCAGAAUCUCUGCUGGGUGGAUGGACGUUGUUAAUUUGGGUGUGGUUUCAGGUUUCAUAGUCUGGAAGUUUCAUUCCCUGACUCUCCUGGAGAUUCUAUGAGUGCUUUCUGCUUACACUGGCUGGAGUGGAUUCUGUUGUUUGCAACUGAUAAGCUUCUGACUCUAACUGAAGCCCUCUCCAGCUCAAGGUGAAGGUUAGAGAUGACUUGCUCAGCCAUGUCUCCAUAUUUUGGGAGCUUAUGAGGUUUUUCACUGAUGAAGAGGAGCAUCCCUAUGUGAAAUGGCAGUGGUUGCCAGUGUGCGUGUCUGGGCUUGCCAAUUUCCUGUGGUUUCUGGUGCCCUUGUGGUAUACUUUCUUUCUAACUUGCAGUGGUGGACAGAAGUGCUGAGUGUCCAUCACUUUACACUUCUGCUGCUGAGGUCUGAGCCACCAUCUCUUCUUGUAUGAAUCUCAACAACUCCCCUGCUCCCCCCCCCCCCCCAAAAAGGAUACUGUCUUAGUCCACUUCGGCUGCUGCUAUAAUAAAAUACUACAGACUGGGUAGCUUAAAAACAGUAGAAAUGUAUUUCUCACAGUUCUGGAGGCUGAGAAGUCCAAGAUCAAGUUACCAGCAAGGUCAUGUUCUGGUGAGGACCCUCCUCUUGAUACGUAAGCAGGGGCAUUCUUGCUGUGUCCUUACAUGGAAGAAUGAACUAGGGGUCUCUCUGGAGCCUCUUUGUAAAGGCACUCAUCUCAUUCAUGAGGGCUCCACCUUCAAGGCUUAAGCACCUCCCCAAACCAUCACUUCAGCCAUUAGGAUUUCAACAUUUUGGGGAUGAGUUUUGGGAGGACCACAAACAUUUAGACCAUAACAAGCACUGAUGCCCAAGCCAACUCAGAACUCUUCAUAGCUCAUCCAUCUUGCACUCCACCCCUUCACCUUAGAGGGUUCAACCAAACUCUAUCCACAAAGCCAUCUGGCUCUCCCUGUGUGCUCAGAAUGCUCUAACCUUCUGCUCCACCCACUACAUCUCUGCCAGUUAUCUCCUGCUCAUCAUUUAGAUCUCAGCUCAAGGGUCUCUUCCUCCAUGAAGCUUUCCCUGACCACCAUUCCCACUCUAGGUCAGAUUCAAAGUUCUUUUCCUUAUUUCGGUUUGUAAUUGUACGUUUGUUAAUAUGAAUAUUGAUUAACAUCUGUACCUGCCCACUUACAACAAGGCCAGGGACCAGAGGUAGCAUUAAAAAUAACCAUCACUAAAAAAAAAAAAAAA